AUCAAGUGCACACUAGCAUCAUGGCUGACUAUAGCGAGUUCAUUCUUACUGAAAUAGACAAAGUCGGCGAAAUCGAUACACUUUCUUUCGCCAGAAAGAUUAAUGUCGAUCACCAAAAAAUAGUUGGUGCUGUGAAAAGUUUGCAGACUCAUUCGGAUGUUAUUGAAGUUAAACAGGUUCAAGGGACUAGUCUACAACUGACAGAGGAAGGAGCACGGGUUGCAGAAAAUGGGAGCUAUGAGGCUCUUGUCUUUAAGGCAGUACCAGAAAAUGGAAUUACUCAAGCAGAAUUAAUGAAAUCUGUGCCAAAUGCUAAAAUAGGAGUUGGCAAGGCCAUUCAAGCGGGAUGGAUUGAAAUUGACAAAAGUACAGGUAGUGAACCUAGAGUACUUCGAAAAGUUGACUGUAUUGAGGAUAACGUGCAGCAGUGUCUCCUGAAGAUAAAAGACCUUGCCUUGGAUGGAGUGACAGAUGCUACCAAAGCAGAAUAUAAAAAGCGGAAACUCAUAGUGGAAGUAAAAGAAACAAGCUUCAAAGUGAGAAAGGGACCCAAUUUUAGUCUCACUGUUGCCAAACCAGAAGUUGACCUGACACCACAAAUGAUACAAAAUGGUACCUGGAAGACAAAGCAGUUCAAGCCAUACAACUUUGAUGCCAUGGGUGUUGCGCCAGAAUGUGGCCAUUUGCAUCCAUUACUCAAAGUCCGAACUCAGUACCGACAGAUUUUCUUGGAGAUGGGCUUUGCAGAAAUGCCAACAAACAACUUCAUUGAAAGUAGUUUCUGGAAUUUUGAUGCAUUGUUUGUUCCACAAAAACAUCCAGCACGGGAUGCGCAAGAUACCUUCUUCAUAUCAGAUCCCCAAAAUGCCAGUGCUUUCCCAAUGGAAUAUCUUGAAAAAGUUAGAAAAGUUCAUGCAGAGGGAGACUUUUGCUCUAGAGGAUAUAUGUACGAUUGGAAGAUGGAAGAAGCAGAAAAAAAUGUACUGCGCACUCACACAACAGCUGUUAGUGCAAGGAUGUUGUACAAAUUAGCUCAACAGAGACCUUUCAAGCCUGUCAAGUAUUUCUCUAUAGACCGUGUUUUCCGAAAUGAGAAUCUUGACGCAACACAUCUUGCAGAGUUUCACCAAAUAGAGGGGGUUGUUGCAGACUAUGGCCUCACACUGGGCAAUUUGAUGGGUGUUAUCAAUGAAUUCUUCAAGAAGUUAGGAAUUACAAAAUUGCGUUUCAAGCCUGCAUACAAUCCUUAUACUGAACCCAGCAUGGAGAUUUUCAGCUUUCAUGAAGGUCUAAAUAAAUGGGUUGAAGUAGGCAAUUCUGGAAUGUUCCGACCAGAAAUGUUGCUUCCCAUGGGUCUUCCAGAAGAUGUCUCUGUCAUUGCAUGGGGAUUGUCAUUGGAAAGACCCACCAUGAUCAAAUACAAGAUCAACAAUAUAAGAGACUUGAUUGGCCCAAAAGUGAACCUUCAGAUGGUCUAUGAUAAUCCAAUCUGCAGACUAGACAAAUAAUGAUUUUAGGGAUGUUAACAAAUUUUAAUUUAGCUAGUAAAGAAUUUCAGUUUUCUUCCAUUCUGAGUUUCACACCAUAUGAGCAUAUAAAAAAAUAAACUGGACUUCAAAUAAUAAAAAUUUAUCUAAAAUACUAAAGGAUGAAAUUUUGUGAAUAGAGUUGGUAUGCAGUGUUUUUGAUAAUAUGCCAAGUGAAAGCAGAUUUAAUAAUAAUAAUAAAUGGGAACUUAUAAAGCGCAAUAUCUCAGCCAAAGGCAGACUCAUUGCACUGAACAAGAUCACAAUAUAUUAACAAAGACGUAGAACAAAGUAGUAACAAAGACGUAAAAUGAAGAACAAUGCGAAGACUCGCUGCGUUCUGGCAGUAAAGGGCGAUCACUGUAGAUUUAACAGUAAGAACUCCAGAGAAUAAGGUUAGUGACAUCAGGAGAAUACUGGGAAGACAUUGAGUAAUCUUGAGAAUAUGAAGAAAUAUUAUCAGAUGAAACUGCAAGGUGAUCAUCCCUUGAGUUUAUUAAGUGCAGCUCAAGGUCUUUGCCGAAGUGAGUGAUGCAUGGUGGAGUGGAAUCCAGCCAAUAAACUCAAACAGUUUGCAUCUCAAAAUAACAUUAUAUACAGUCCUGUUGCAAACCAGAAGAGUAAGAAAACGCAGCAGAAGCACAUGUGAACAUGAAAGUCCAACACUUUUAUCCAAAUGAAGCACGACCACAAAACGAAAUCAAGGAGAGCCAAUCCCCUCAGGUGAAGGGACAGAACUCUCAUCCCAUUUGUAUGGUACAGUUUGUGUACCUAUAUUUCAGUUGCUCCAGGUUCUAUGAAAAACUCUGUGAAGACCAGCCUGCUUGACAGCUGUGCUACUGUUGAAGAAAAUUGAACCAUCCUUCACAAUCAGGAGGUGGUGGCUGGGGUAAGCCCUUGCAUUGAAAAUGGAAAUCAGAGAAAUUCCAGUUUAAAGAUUCAAAAUGAAUAUAUUUUGUAUCAGAUCAUUUUUGAAAAAUAUAUUUCAGUGUUUAUAUGCUACACUUAACAUCCUACUAUGUAAUUGAAGUCUGUCCUAGUAUGCCAGGACUAUAAAUUUCACCCUAACAGCUUUCUUGCUCGGAAACCAUUAGCUUUGUUUGUGUUCUUUUGUUUUCUCAGUAUCUAGGUUUCAAGUAAUGCCUUAUUAUCUGCUUGCCUGCAUUAGAUUAAGAACUGUUUUACGUACAAUUCAUGCAAACUCAGUUAUUUGUUUUAAUGGUUUGUUGUUUAUCACAGUAUUAUUUGUACGGUGGCACAAUGGUUAGCACCUGUCUCUAAUAUAGUGAAUGAAGGUUGGCUGUCUUGGGUUCAGCUCUUGUCUCGGACACACUGCUUCCCCACCUCAAUACAGAGUUGGAAUUCAGAGCCACUGUUAUUAAAUAAAUGAUUUUGUAACCCAACAUUCUAAGCAUAAAAUAAAAAUUUGCCAUUUCCUAUACUUUUUACUCAAACCUCUAGAUUUGUUUAAGAUUUAGUUGCUGGUUUUUCACAAAUUGUGCACCGUUCACGGGCUUGUUUUGUCUUUUCAGUGUGGAAAAAUAUUUUAUGAAAGAGUUUGUUGGGAGGAUUGUAUCUGUAUUAAAUAUUUGCAUUCAAAAGUCAACAGAAUUAUUACUAUGAUUAUUGUAAUGCAGAAUAUUUGAUAAAUAAAUUAUACAAGAUUUAUAA
rnacentral:misc_RNA from 1 species